UCUGUAAACGGAAGUAAACAGUGAACAAGUUCUACGUUAGCGUUUUUGUUAUUUAUAAGUUCCUUAAACACUGGUACUCAACGUGACUCAUUUAACUGCGCAGCAUCAUAUACUUACCACAUUUUGUGUUUAAUUCGCUUUAGAGACAGGACAUGUUAGGUGUUCCAGGUAACGCUAGCUAGCUGCUAACAAUGGCUAACUGUAUGGGGUUUCACACUCAAAUAGCCUCCAUCAUGGAGGUACUAGCAAAUGCAGCCGUGGCAGAGGUCUGCAAACUCGUAGAUGACGACUAUGCAGUGUUUCGUUUGGAAAUAACUCAAAGCCAGAAAGAGAACAUGGCAUUGCGGAGGAAACUACAGCUACUGGAAGGGAAGAUGGCGCGGGAGCGCGUCUUCGCCAGUCGUCCCAGAAGUGUCAAGAUCGUCGACCGAUACAGAGGAAUAGAAAGAGGUGAAGGACAUCUCACCAGAGGCCACAAGAGCUUUGUGAAGCCAGCGGGACACAAUGCAUGGAGAGAUGACCAACCCAUAGCUGUUGAUGAGGGGAGUGGAACCUCAACCCAGCACGUUAUCAUGAUAGAGUCUACAGAUGCAGAGGCUGCAGGUCCUGAAGGAUUGUCUCUGGUCAAGCAGGAGAGGUCUGAAGGAGAGGAGGACAGACUGCACAGCAGGCACAUCCAGACUGGAGCAGCAGCUGGAGCGCCCCCUGUAGCCACGGUAGACCAUACCAUCACCCCAGCACAUCUCUGGACCCAAAGCAGAAUCACGGAGGUCAGUGGAACGCCGAAUGCAGUCCUCAAGUCAGAGAAAGACAUCAAGACUUUAACUGUAACACAAAGGCUGUUACACACAGGAUCUGACCACAGAUCAGACCCAGAGAGACUGGGGCCGGGGAGACCGGGCUGUCCUCCUGCUCCUGGCUCAGAGUAUUUACCGGUAUUUCACCAGAGCCAGAGGACGGUUAAUUCCCAGGGAGAUGGUGAUACGUUAGACACUGGUGGUGAUGAUCUGUCUUGUUUUUACACUACAGAGAUGGACCCUGGAAACAUGCCCUUGGGUUUAGAGACACAGACUGAUCUUUCUAGACGGGACUGGAACCAGUACAGUAGUAGUGUAUACUCUGAAGGGCGCCUAGAUGAGAAAGGGGAGGGUCUGGUCAUAGAUGAAGUGACUAUGAAAGUGGAGGGUGACGUUCCUCCCACAUGGAAUGCAGAUAAUCAUCACCUCGGAGAUGGACACUUACAGGGCAGAGAUUUCUUAAAUUACAGGGAAAGGUUAGAGACAAAUCCAAAUGGCUCUACCCACUCUCCUUUACACACGUUCAGGGAUCGCGCCCCAGUGUCCACGUCGAUGGGGCCUUCCGAUUCACACGGCCGCUUCCUUUUCGACAGGGCAAAAGCCCAGGCUCAGGGAGGGGGAGAAACGUCAGGCAGUAGUAAGGGAAAACGGUUCCUCUGCAUGUUCUGUAACAAAGGCUUCAGCUGCCCCCAGAAGGUAGAGAUCCACCAGAGGUUCCACACAGGGGAGAAACCCUUCAGUUGUACCCAGUGUCACAUGCACUUUGCCCAGGCUGGUGACCUGAAGAGGCACCAGAGGAUCCACACAGGGGAGAAACCCUACAACUGCCCCCAGUGUGAGAAGAGGUUCUCCCGCCAAGACCACCUGAAGAUGCACCUGAAGGUCCACACGGGAGAGAGGCCGUUCGCCUGUACGCACUGCGGGAAAAGGUUCUCAGAGAGGAGCUACCUCAGGAUACACCAGGAGAAAAACCAUUCCACUCUAUAACAUAGAAAGUAACCAUUCCAGUCGAUAGCUUCUGACAUUUAGCUCAAACCCUGCAUGAAAGAAAAAGAUGCAUUUUCAUUGUUGUCAGCAGAAAAGAUCCACAGAUGCAUUUGGAAUAAUGCGAGUAACAGAUUUGUGUUGAAUAUUCCAGGGUAGAAUAUUGCAUACAGACAUUGUGUGAUAGAUACAGCAUAUAUAUACACUGCUCAAAAAAAUAAAGGGAACACUAAAAUAACACAUCCUAGAUCUGAAUGAAUGAAAUAUUCUUAUUAAAUACUUUUUUCUUUACAAAGUUGAAUGUGCUGACAACAAAAUCACACAAAUUAUCUCUGGAAAUCAAAUUUAUCAAGCCAUGGAGGUCUGGAUUUGGAGUCACACUCAAAAUUAAAGUGGAAAACCACACUACAGGCUGAUCCAACUUUGAUGUAAUGUCCUUAAAACAAGUCAAAAUGAGGCUCAGUAGUGUGUGUGGCCUCCACGACCUCCCUACAACGCCUGGGCAUGCUCCUAAUGAGGUAGCGGAUGGUCUCCUGAGGGAUCUCCUCCCAGACCUGGACUAAAGCAUCAGCCAACUCCUGGACAGUCUGUGGUGCAAUGGAGCGAAACAUGAUGUCCCAGAUGUGCUCAAUUGGAUUCAGGUCUGGGGAACGGGCGGGCCAGUCCAUAGCAUCAAUGCCUUCCUCUUGCAGGAACUGCUGACACACUCCAGCCACAUGAGGUCUAGCAUGGUCUUGCAUUAGGAGGAACCCAGGGCCAACCACACCAGCAUAUGGUCUCACAAGGGGUCUGAGGAUCUCAUCUCGGUACCUAAUGGCAGUCAGGCUACCUCUGGCGAGCACAUGGAGGGCUGUGCUGUCCCCCAAAGAAAUGCCACGAAUUUGCCAAUCUUGGUGUUCUCUGGCAAAUGCCAAACGUCCUGCACGGUGUUGGGCUGUAAGCACAACCCCCACCUGUGGACGUCGGGCCCUCAUACCACCCUCAUGGAGUCAUGCACAUUUGUGGCCUGCUGGAAGUCAUUUUGCAGGGCUCUGGCAGUGCUCCUCCUUCUCCUCCUUGUACAAAGGCGGAGGUAGCGGUCCUGCUGCUGGGUUGUUGCCGUCUCCUGAUGUACUGGCCUGUCUCCUGGUAGCACCUCCAUGCUCUGGACACUACACUGACAGACACAGCAAACCUUCUUGCCACAUCUCGCAUUGAUGUGCCAUCCUGGAUGAGCUGCACUACCUGAGCCACUUGUGUGGGUUGUAGACUCCGUCUCAUGCUACCACUAGAGUGACAGCACCGCCAGCAUUCAAAAGUGACCAAAACAUCAGCCAGGAAGCAUAGGAACUGAGAAGUGGUCUGUGGUCACCACCUGCAGAACCUCUCCCUUAUUGGAGGUGUCUUGCUAAUUGCCUAUAAUUGCCACCUGUUGUCUAUUCCAUUUGCACAACAGCAUGUGCAAUUUAUUGUCAAUCAGUGUUGCUUCCUAAGUGGACAGUUUGAUUUCACAGAAGUGUGAUUGACUUGGAGUUACAUUGUGUUGUUGAAGUGUUCCCUUUAUUUUUUUUGAGCAGUGUAGAUACACAGUGUACAAAACAUUAGGAACACCUGCUCUUUCCAUGACAGAGUGACCAGGUGAAUACUAUGAUCCCUUAUUGAUGUCACUUGCUAGAUCCACUUCAAUCAGAGGAGAUGAAGGGGAGGAGACAGGUUAAUUAAUGCUUUUCAAGCCUUGAGACAUGGAUGGUGUGCCACUGCCAUUCAGAGGGUGAAUGGGCAAGACAAAAUAUUUAAGUGCCUUUGAACGGGUUAUGAUUAGUAGGUGCCAAACGCAAUUGGUUUGUGUCAAGAACUGCAACGCUGCUGGGUUUUUCACACUCAACAGUUUACUUCAAGAAUUAUCCACCACCCAAAGAACAUCUAGUCAACUUGACACAACUGUGGGAAGCAUUGAAGUCAACAUAGGCCAGCAUCCCUGUGGAAUGGAGAGUCCAAAAGGGGGUGCAACUCAAUAUUUGGUCGGUGUUCCUAAUGUUUUGGACACUCAGUGUAUGUUAAUGUCAUUAUUUGGCAACAGUUAAAUCAGACGUAUCUGAUUCAAUUAAAAUUAGUUUGUCAAUUACAUGUUUGUUCUACAUAGUAUACAGUGAGCUCAAAGUAUUGGGACUGGCACAUUUUGUGUUGUUCUGGCUCUGUAAUCCAGCAUUUAGGAUUUGAAAUGAUACAAUGUCUAUGAGGUUUAAGUGCAGACUGUCACCUUUAAUUUGAGGGUAUUUUCAUCCAUAUUGAGGGAAACGUUUAGAAAUUACAGUACUUUUUGUACAUAGUCCUCCCAUUUUAGGGGACCAACAUAUUGGGACAAAUUCACUUACAGUUGAAGUUGGAAGUUUACAUACACUUAGGUUGGAGUCAUUAAAACAAUUUUUUCAACAAACUAUAGUUUUGGCAAGUCGGUUAGGACAUCUACUUUGCAUGACAAGUAAUUUUUCAAAAAAUUGUUUACAGACAGAUUAUUUCACUUAAAAUGCACUGUACACAAUUCCAGUGGGUCAGAAGUUUACAUACACUAAGUUGACUGUGCCUUUUAGCAGCUUGGAAAAUUCCAGAAAAUGAUGUCAUGGCUUUAGAAGCUUCUGAUGGGCUAAUUGCCAUUAAUUGGAGGUGUAUCUGUGGAUGUACCUUCAAACUCAGUGCCUCAUUGCGUGACAUCAUGGGAAAAUCAAAAGAAAUCAGCCAAAAUUGUAGACCUCCACAAGUCUGGUUCAUCCAUGGGAGCAAUUUCCAAACGCCUGAAGGUACCACGUUCAUCUGUACAAACAAUAGUACUCAAGUAUAAACACCAUGGGACCACGCAGCCGUUAUACCGCUCAGGAAGGAGAAGCACUCUGUCUCCUAGAGAUAAACGUACUUUGGUGUCUGAAAAGUGCAAAUCAAUCCCAGAACAACAGCAAAGGACCUUGUGAAGAUGCUGGAGAAACAGGUACAAAAGUAUCUAUAUCCACAGUAAAACGAGUCCUAUGUCGACAUAACCUGAAAGGCCGCUCAGCAAGGAAGAAGCCACUAGUCCAAAACCGCCAUAAAAAAGCCAGACUAUGGUUUGCAACUGCACAUGGGGACAAAAAUCAUAUUUUUUGGAGAAAUGUCCUCUGGUCUGAUGAAACAAAAAUAGAACUGUUUGGCCAUAAUGACCAUUGGUAUGUUUGGAGGGAAAAGGAGGAGGCUUGCAAGCCAAAGAAUUCCAUCCCAACUGUGAAGCACGGGGGUGGCAGCAUCAUGUUGUGGGGGUGCUUUGCUGCAGGAGGGACUGGUGCACUUCACAAAAUAGAUGGCAUCAUGAGAAUGGAAAAUUAUGUGGAUAUAUUGAAGCAACAUCCCAAGACAUCAGUCAGGAAGUUAAAGCUUGGUCGCAAAUGGGUCUUCCAAAUGGACAAUGACCGCAAGCAUACUUCCAAAGUUGUGGGCAGAACUGAAAAAGCGUGUUUCGAGCAAGGAGGCCUACAAACCUGACUCAGCUCUGUCAGGAGGAAUGUGCCAAAAUUAAUCAAAAUUAUUGUGGAAGGCUACCCGAAACGUUUGACCCAAGUUAAACAAUUUAAAGGCAAUGCUACCAAAUACUAAUUGAGUGUAUGUAAACUUCUGACCCACUGGGAAAUAAAUAAAAGAUUAUCUCCACUAUUAUUCUGACAUUUUACAUUCUAAAAAAUAAAGUGGUGAUCCUAACGGACCUAAAACAGGGAAUAUGUACUGGGAUUAAAUGUCAGGAAUUGUGGAAAAACAUUUUUAUUUUUUAUUUCACCUUUAUUUAACCAGGUCUGCUAGUUGAGAACAGGUUCUCAUUUACAACUGCCACCUGGCCAAGAUAAAGAAAAGCAGUGCGACACAAAAAACAACAGAGCUGCACAUGGAAUAAACAAACACAGUCACAAUAGAGAAAAAAGUAUAUAUACAGUGUGCAAAUGAGGUAAAAUAAGGGAAUAAAUUGGCCAUAGUGGUGAUAUAAUUACAAUUGAUCAAUUAAACACUGGAGUGAUAGAUGUGCAAAAUAUGAAUAUGCAAGUAGAGAUACUGGGGUAUAAAAAAAAUAACAGUAUGGGGAUGAGGUAGUUGGAUGAACUAUUUACAGAUAGGAUAUGUACAGGUGCAGUGAUCUGUGAGCUGGUGCUUAAAGUUAGUGAGGGAGAUAUGGAUCUCCAGCUUCAGUGAAAUUUGCAAUUCCAGUCAUUGGCAGCAGAGAACUGGAAGGAAUGACGUUCAAACGUCGGAAUUGGCUUUGGGGGUGACCAGCGAAAUAUACCUGCUGAAGCGCGUGCUAUGGUGAGCAGUGGGUUUGGCGACGAAUAUGAAGCGAGGGCCAGCCAACGAGAGCAUACAGGUCGCAGUGAUGGGUAGUAUAUGGGGCUCUGGUGACAAAAUUGAUUGCACUGUGAUAGACCGCAUCCAAUUUGCUGAGUAAGGCUAUCUUGUAAAUGACAUCGCCAAAGUCAAGAAUUGGCAGGAUUGUCAGUUUUACGAGGGCAUGUUUGGCAGCAUGAGUGAACAAUGCUUUGUUGCGAAAUCGGAAGACGAUUCUAAAUUUAAUUUUGGAUUGGAGAUGCAUAAUGUGAGUCUGGAAUGAGAGUUUACAGUCUAACCAGACACCUAGGUAUUUGUAGCUGUCUACAUAUUCUAGGUCAGAACCAUCCAGAGUAGUGAUGCUGGAUAGGCGGGCAGGUGCGGGCAGCGAUCAGUUGAAGAGCAUGCAUUUAGUUUUACUUGCAUUUAAGAGCAGUUGGAGGCCCCGUAAGGAGAGUUGUAUGGCAUUGAAGCUCGUCUGGAGGUUAGUUAACACAGUGUCCAUAGAUGGGACAGAUGUAUACAGAAUGGUGUCGUCUGCGUAGAGGUGGAUCAGGGAAUCACCAAUAGCAAGAGCGACAUCAUUGAGGUAUACAGAGAAGAGUCGGCCCGAGAAUUUAACCCUGUGGCAUCCCCAUAGAGACUGCCAUAGGUCCAGACAACAGGCUCUCCGAUUUGACACACUGAACUCUGUCUGAGAAGUAGUUGGUGAACCAGGCAAGGCAGUCAUUUGAGAAACCAAGGCUGUUGAGUCUGCCGAUAAGAAUGUGGUGAUUGACAGAGUCGACAGAGCCUUGGCCAGGUCGAUGAAUACAGCUGCACAGUAUUAUCUCUUAUCAAUAAUGGUUAUGAUAUCGUUUAGGACCUUGAGUGUGACUGAGGUGCACCCAUGACUAGCUCGAAAACCAGAUUGCAUAGCGGAGAAGGUACGGUGGGAUUCGGAAUGGUCGGUGAUCUGUUUGUUAACUUGCCUUUCGAAUACCUUAGAAAGGCAUGGUAGGAUAGAUAUAGGUCUGUAGCAGUUUGGGUCUAGAGUGUCUCCCCCUUUGAAGAGGGGAAUGACCGCGGCAGCUUUCCAGUCUUUGGGGAUCUCAGACGAUACGAAAGAGAGGUUGAACAGGCUCGUAAUAGGGGUUGCAACAAUUUCAGCUGAUAAUUUUAGAAAAAUAGGGUCCAGAUUGUCUAGCCCUGCUGAUUUGUAGAGGUCCAGAUUUUGCAGCUCUUUCAGAACAUCAGCUAUCUGGAUUUGGGUGAAGGAGAAAUGGGGAGGCUUGGGCAAGUUGCUGUGGGGGGUGCAGGGCUGUUGACCAGGGCAGGGGUGGCCAGGUGGAAAGCAUGGCCAGCUGUAGAAAACUGCUUAUUGAAAUUCUCAAUUAUAGUGGAUUUAUCGGUGGGGUGACAGUGUUUCCUAGCGUCAGUGCAGUGGGAAGCUGGGAGGUGCUCUUAUUCUCCAUGGACUUUACAGUGUCCCAGAACUUUUUGGAGUUUGUGCUGCAGGAUGCAAAUUUCUGUUUGAAAAAGCUAGCCUUCGCUUUCCUAACUGCCUGUGUAUAUUGGUUCCUAACUUCCCUGAAAUGUUGCAUAUCGCGGGGGCUAUUUGAUGCUAAUGCUGUACGCCUCGGGAUGUUUUUGUGCUGGUCAAGAAUAUAUUAUUAUUAUGCAUUUGGCUAAGGUGUAUGUAAACUUCCGACUUCAACUGUAUGUGUAUUAAAGUAGUCAAAAGUGUAGUAUUUGGUCCCAUAUUCCUAGCGUGCAAUGAUUACUUUAAGCUUGUGACUCUACAAACAUGUUGGAUGCAUUUGCUGUUUGUUUGGGUUGUGUUUCAGAUCAUUUUCUGCCCAAUAGAAAUUAUUGGUAAACAAUGUAUUGUGUAAUUUUGGAGUCAACUUUUAUUGUAAAUCAGAAUAGAAUAUGUUCCAAACACUUCAAUAUUCAUGUGGAUGCUACCAUGAUUACAGAGAAUCCUGAAUGAUUUGUGAAUAAUGAUGAGUUAGAGUUAGAUGCACAAAUAUCAUAACCCCCCCCUAAAAUGUUCACCUCCCCUGUUAUUGUAAUGGUGAGAGGUUAGCAUGUCUUGGGGGUAUGAUAUGUGUGCACUUGUAACUUUCCCACUCAUCAUUAUUCACAAUUAAUUCAGGACUAUCUGUAAUCAUGGUAGCAUCCACAUUAAAUGUAGAAGCGUUUAGAAACAUUCUAUUGUUAUUUACAAUAAAAGUGACUCCAAAAUGAUGCAAUACAUUAUUUGCCAUUAAUUUGUACUGGGCACAAUAUAAUCUGAAACACAACCAAAACAAACAGCAAAUGCAAGCAGCAAAGAAACCCUACCCUCUCUAGGCACUUGUGGAGAGCUGAAACAACUUAAUAGGUGUAAGGCUGUAAGCAAUAGGGUGAAUGCAUUUUGAAGUAAAUCUCAGCUCUGUUAAAGUACACUCAAGGAAAACAUGAACAGAUCUCAAAGUGAUUCAGCAGUAUCAUUAAAUCGGGUUAACAUGCCCCACCAACAUUAGACAAUUAUACUGAAAGGCCUUAUAUUGCUGAAAUAAAUACAUCUAAUCAAUGAUGAGAAUACUCUGAUCAACCGAUAUGUAGCAGGAAGAUUGGCGUACCGUGAAUCAAGAGGUUGUGAUUUGAAAUUCAAGGUGAGGACUGUUUAAUUAUUAUUCAUGUAUUUUGACUUUUUUAUUUCACCUUUAUUUAACCAGGUAGUCCAGUUGAGAAUAAGUUCUCAUUUACAACUGUGACCUGGCCAAGAUAAAGCAAAGCAGUGCGACAAAAAACAGCAGAGUUACACAAACAAUCGUACAGUCAAUAACACAAUAGAAAAAUCUGUAUACAGUGUGUGCAAAUGAAGUAAGGAGGUAAGGCAAUAAAUAGGCCAAUAGUGGUGAAGUAAUUACAAUUGAGCAAUUUACACUGGAGUGAUAUGUGCAGAUGAGGAUGUGCAAGUAGAAACCUGUCUGUGACACCUGCCGUUUGGUGCUGCGCUGACACUACAUGCCCUUUUUGAGUUUUGCGUCUUUACCUAACAAAGUCAUGUUAGAAUAUGUCAGUUAUCCCGUGAGAGCUUUUGAGCCGAACCCACUAAAGUGUUUCAGAUGCCCAGCUUAUGGUCAUGUUGCAGCAGCAGUGUGUAGGAGGGCAUUGGCCCGAAGGAAUGUUAGUAUCAAUUGUGGGGUUUCCCAUGUUGCUGGAGAUCAGAAGUGCCUUGGUGCGAGAGAGACUGGUUGAGGUUGCCAGUCAGAGCAGAACAGAAGGUGUCGUAUGCUAAGGCAGUGAAGAGCAUAGAGGAUGAUGGGUCACGGUCUCAGGUGAAGGACAUCUCACUGGAGGCGACAGGAGCUUUGUGAAGCCAGCGGGACAUAACGUGUGGAGAGAUGAC